UACGGCGUCCGCGAGGGUUACCCGGAUUUACUGGGCGUAAAGGGCGUGUAGGCGGCCUGGGCCGUCCCAUGUGAAAGGCCACGGCUCAACCGUGGAGGAGCGUGGGAUACGCUCAGGCUAGACGGUGGGAGAGGGUGGUGGAAUUCCCGGAGUAGCGGUGAAAUGCGCAGAUACCGGGAGGAACGCCGAUGGCGAAGGCAGCCACCUGGCUCUCUUGUGACGCUGAGGCGCGAAAGCGUGGGGAGCAAACCGG
rnacentral:rRNA from 1 species